GAGAAAGGGAGAGUCCGGGGCAGGUAAAGGAGAACCCAUCGCGUUAGUCUUGUUAGGCUUUUUCUAUUAUUAAUAUAACGAUUUAACUGGAUUUUUGUCAGUCUUCAGAAGCAAGUGCCGAAAAAAUUUGCACGGAUGCUGUCUUUAAACACACAUCUAUCUUCCUCCUUCCUUCCUUCCCUCUGUCUUUCUUCCUCUCUUUCUUUAGUCACGAUUUCCCGGGAUAAAUGAAUGCGCAUUUGAUGGGUGUGUAAGAUGUGGCCCAUCAGGCUCCUGUAACAGAGCCCUGUGGAUGCCGUGUGUGCUGUGCCAGUCGUGAUAACAAACAAGUGGCAAUUGAUAUUUUUUUAGUUGCUUGGAUUGGCUUAAGAAGUCGAGGGGGUAUUUAAUUAGUGGUCCAAAAUACUGCUCCAGCUUCCAAGUUAAACUUCCGGGGACCUCUCCCACGCUUUAUUUUGCGUAAACACCGAGGCUGGAUGAGGGAAACGUGAAAUACCAACAAUUUUUUAAUUACUUUUUUUAAAAAGUGAGAAAAGGAGUGCAGCUCGCCUCCUUGGUGAGAUGACGGCUUGGGAAGCACAAAACUUUCCCGAGGAGGUGAGGGAGCCGCAGCCGCCUCCCGGCUGGGCUGGGCUGCUUUCCCCCAUCCCUCUGGAUCUGUUGGCAGCUCCUGCCAGUCGAAAGUUACCUGCUCUGCAACAGAAGCAGCUGUACAGUCGCUUUCUCCUGAAUUAAACACAACUCUUAAUGAUGUAGCAUUAUCAACAAGGGACACUUGAUUGACUGAUCUAGGUAUGAUAUAUGUGCUGGGCGUCUAAAUUAAAUAUUAAGUGAAAUACUUAGCUCUAAUUAGAAAUCGUAACCUAGCGAUGAAAACUUGAAGAAACAAAUUGCGGGGGGAGGAGGGGACAGGCUUUAAACGCUGCAGUGAGGAAAGUAGCAGUGAUGUGUACAGAGUCUGACAUAUUAGCAACAAGCAGUAACUUUGAAAUGAUUGACGUAUCAUUAAAGCCAUCAGGCUGAUUUUAAUAAUUCUUCAAGAAAAAAAAAGGAAAGAAAAGAGGAAAAAAAAGUGUGGAACCUCGCAGACAGGUUAUUUAUUAAUCAGCGCAUUAAGCCCGAGAGAAACACAAUUAGAAUGGGGGAGAGGGAGAGAAGGCGGGGGAAAAUCUGUUGACGAAUUUAACAAAUAAACGUCCAUAAAGCAGCGACCAUCCAGCUCGGGGCUUCUCUGGGAGAUGGAGAUGUCAGAGCUAGAUGCCUUCUCCCCCGAGUGUGCCUUCCCAAGGUAAACAAGCACACAGUUGUCUCAACUUUCUCCUUUAGUACAAAGUUCCUGGUGCGACGGAAAAUUUGAAUAUUUUAUCAGUCUCUUGUAGUGACCCUCAUUAGGUGGGCAUCCUGCUAAGGCCUUGGCGUUACAAGAAAGCUGCCCAAUCAGAGCAUUUGCACGCCUUGUUAGCGAUGGUUAAUGAAGCUUCCCCAUGCACUCAAAGAAAGGCCCCCUCGAUGUAGAUUUACCUUAUGUCAACUCGUUACUUCUAAUGAAUCGCAUCAAAAUUCUUCCCUGAAUGGGGCCGAGGCGCCCGGACUGGGAUCCCCUCCCCGCCCGGCGGAGCCCACCCCUGCCACCGCCGGCACUUUAGCGGAGAAUCCGAGACCAAGGUGCACUUAGGCGGCGGCAAGAGAGCCUACACAGCCCCCGGGGACAGAGUUUGCCUCCUGAACUACUCUUCUCUUGCUGAAGAACAGUAGCUCCGACCUCCAAACCAGCUGGGACUGGCGCUUUAAAGUAGCUGCGAACAGUGCUCCCGUGUCUCAACACGGUCACGUAGGAGAUUUGAGCCUUUUAAUUUCCAGACACGAGGAAUAACUCCCUCAGAGUCCAGGGUUGGUUUAAGUGGUCGGUUGUUGGGUGUUUUGUUCGGGGUUUUUAAUUUUUUUUUUUCUUCUAGUAAGAUAGAGAGGGAAGCUGGGUACGAUGCUCUUGUAGACACAGCAACAUAAAGGGGAGGAAAAAGCAGAGCCGGGGCAUAUUUGGCUGUAGGGAACCUCCCCGAGCCGCUCUGUUGUCCCCGGCGGGAUGGCGCUCGGGGGCUGCGGGCGCUGCCGCCGGCCCGGCCCAGCCCGCGCCCCGGCCCUGGCGGCAGCCAACGGGCGCGUCGCCUGGUGUGACCUUCAGGGAGCACAUUUCAACUGCUUAACACCGAGAAAAGUGCUUCUCUCGCUCGCAGGCGCCAUAUUACCGCCAGGAGCCAGGGCUGGGGCGGGGGGAGGGCGGUGGUGCAGUUAAUCUAGUUUUACGCAGUUGUUAAUUCAGACUGGACGAGCUCUCGAUGGCUCCAUUAAAAAAAAAAAAAAAAAAAAAAAAAAAAGACUUUGGGAUUAUUCUUUUCUUCUUAGCCCCCCCUGCUAUCCUCCCUUUUCCAACUGCCCCCGAGGGGAUGAGCUUUGUAACACUGAUGCCUGCUCUGGGACCCUACGGAGCAUCCUCCCCCUCCCAGCCCGAUGGGAAAGGGGAUGCGCGGGGGGCGAUCCCCGAGAGCACGGGAUGUCAGGGGGUCCCGGCCCAAGGUCCCGACACUCCCCUUGCCGGGGGUCCCAGGCACCCCCGGGCAGUGCCGGAGAGCUCCCAGCUUCCCCCAUCCUGCUGCUUGCCGGGGAAGGACUGCGAAAACUCCCUAAGCCUCGCUCCCUCCGCGCACACCCCGUUUGUGCUGAGAAGGCUAUGAGGCUCAAAAUAAGAAAAUACCCCCAACAAGCCUUUCUCCCGGUGCAAAAUUAUUUCCUAAGCUGUGGGUCCGCACUUUGCUGAGCUCUCCUGUCCCUCAGUUCUCACAGAGACCUGCUUCUUAGACAACGGCGCUCUUUUGUCUGUUCCCCCCCCUUCCUUUUUUUUUUUUUUUUUUAAAUGAAAAAAACUAACCAACCCCACCCAAAACCCGACAACAACAACUUCUGUAGCUGUGCAGAAGUGGAGGAAGCAACACUGCGAUCGCGGCAGGGACACAGAGAAGCCGGACAGAGCCUCUCCUCCCCUGGGCCGCAGCGCCGGUGCUGUCCUAAAGGUUCAAGUCCUCUCAGGAUUUCGGAACAAAGGCAGCCCAGCCCGGCUCAGCCACGCACGAAUCUCCAUUGUAAUCCUGGGCUUAUCCUUUUUAUUUUUCCCUUUCUUCAUUUGCCCUGUUUUCCAGCCUGCAAUUCCUGAAGGUCAGAGGGAGAGGUCACAGCUCUGCAUCCCCUAUAAAUAGAUUUUGAUAUUUAGACAGCUAUUGCUACUCGAUAUUAACUUACAGGAUAAUGGCGAGAGAUACCGUAUGCGCUGAACCUGUUAUUCACGAGUGAGCAACAUCUGUCGAAUACAAUUCUCGUCUUUUUGCCCUGUUUGGCUGUAGCACACAUCAGUAGGGGGAAGGACGUCUUGAGGCUGGGGUAGGGACGGGGAGCAGGACGGCUCUGCAGGGGGACAGUCGCAAGUACAGUGUUGAAACUAUACAAGGACUUAGAGAGCUGAAGUCAAGAGCCAGGUCGGCACAGACAGGCUCUGAGCGAGUGUAGGACCAAUUCAAGAGCGGCUGGUGAAAAGAUUUCAGCGGGCUUUUGAUACUUCACAUUAAAAUAUAAUGAAUGACGCUGAGGCGGAAGGGUCUUCCCUCUGCACAUUCACAGCCCGAUUUCCCCUAUUUCUGACUUUUAAAAUCGUGGGUUCCAGGUAUAUCUGAACCAGAGGCUCAGAGCUCACCACCAACCCUUUUGCUGUUUACAGAGCAUUCAAGAGAAGGCAAGGUGUUCAAAUGUGGGUAAUACUUUGAAGGGAGCACUGAGUUCUCGUUUCUUUUUCACAGAGCAUCCCCUCUUCUGGCUGUUCCCAAACCCUUCCCUGCCUUUCGCUACUUGCGAGGCAGAAAGGCCUUUACACUCCCAGCCUGGGAGUGUACAGUCCUGGGUGCCGGCACUUUUCUUGGCGGUGCGAUAAGAAUUAAAUUCACGGUCGGUAAUCCGACAGAGGCUUUAGAACAAACCCACCCGCAGCCGGGUACCCGCCGGGAUGCGCCGAACGGAGACGGCCAGCGCUUUGGGAACUGGUGGCACUGGCGAGCAGGUCCCCACGCGGGGGCGGCUCGGGGUGGCCAAGCCCCCGCGGGACGGGGAGAGGAGUCCGACCAGGCUAAAAAUACCGUUUCUUCCUCGUUGUGCUGGCUCACACGUGGGUCCUGCUCCUUCUGCGAAACAGAUUCCCCUCAUCACUGGCGAGACCGCAGCUCUAGAAAUUAGUUGUAAUCAAGAUCUUAUGUAGCAGGACGGGAAAGUACGCCAGCGUUGCCGUCUACUUACCUGGGCAUGGGAGGGGAGGGGGGCGGUCGUGAAAGGCGCCGAUUGUGUGUGGAUUUUGAGGUUAAAAAGAGAUAACCUGGGGAAGGGGAGGGAGGAAAGGCGCUGAGUGGCUUAAUUUAAUCAAUAAAAUGUCUGAAAGUGUUGUCGAGAUUUGUUUCUCCCGUUUGCUCGUUUAACUUGCCCUUCAAUGCUCAUGUGUAACAUCUGGUACUGUGGGUAUACAAGUGCGUUUUGGGGGUGGUGUGCGCUUUAUUUUGAGAAAAGGGAUAACUGCCAUAGAAGAGACACAAAAGUGGCAGUUUUAAGAUGCUGCGGCUUCCUAAAGCCUGGCGGGUUUACAACCAGCUCAGCAGCAGUGAAACAAACUUGCUGUCGAAGUUUCCGACGCUCAGGAAGGAGGAGCGCUUCUCACUGCCCGGCCGGGGACCCGCGGGCUUUGUUCCGCGGGGAACGAAGCCACGGGAGCUGCCACCGGCGCCCCGCUGUCCCCGGCCGGCAGGGACACUGGGUGGAGGGCUGGCGGAGCUCCCGCCUGGCCGGGCAGGUGUCCUGUUCUGGGCCGGCCCGAGGCAGCGGUGACCGCCCUUCGCCCGCCGAGAGAGGCAGGAGCGCUUGUGCCCAGAGCCCGACCGAAGAGGCAGACGCGACUUUUCUGGGUGUUUUUAUGGCUUGCUAGGGAGGGAAGGUGCCGUCUCUUUCCCCCCUCGGCUUCUUCCGCCCAUCGCUUCUCCCCAGGAGCUCCGGAGGGCGUCGGGAGGGGCCCGGCGCUGCACAGCCCCGGGCACACAGGGACGGUGCGCGGGGCCGGCGCAGCCCCCCCGGAGCGGCAGCCCGAGGGCUGAAGGAAUAGAGUGAAGGCUAGUACAAAGAAAAUUCACAGUAUAAACAUCCUGCCCAAGAAAGGAAGGUUCACCCUUACUCCAUCUACAGGAUCUCCAUCCAGAGUCCUUUGUAGCCAUAUACAGUAUGCGACAGAACAAUUUGGAAAAGAUUCAUCUAUCAAGUUUAACAACUUUCUGGUGUAACUUCAGAGAGGUUUAUUGCUUAUUCAUGUGGAAGGUAUUUUAUGCCAAGAGACAGUAAGAGGAGCUGAAGUGGGACUAGAAAAGGGAGAAAAAACAUCUUCCCUUCAGUGCUGCCAUUUUGGUAUUGCUGCAAUGUCCUACACAGGAGUGACCCUGAACCUUCCAGCCCCUGGAAGAUUUUCUGUCCUCAGGGAAUGUGUGGAAGCAUGGAGACAAAGGGGGAGACUUGAAGUAUUUCUCCAGGAAGAAAAGAUAAUUGCUGUAUUAACGUGGAACUAUGAGGACCAGCUUUGUGAACAACCUCUUUCCAUCCUAUCUUCACCAGAUGAAACAGUAAGAUGGGCAAAGGCAGGUUCUGCUUCCCACAGCGUCCUGGGACUGGUACCAGCUGCACAAGAGAUAUUCCCGUCUCACAGAAUUUUCCAUAUGCUGGAAAUCUUGAAUCCCACAGAGCUCCCUGGUGAUGACUGGAUAAAACAAGGAUGUUGGAUAUAUGAGGAAGAAAAGAAACUGCUGGCACCAAAAGGGCAGUUAAGAGAAUCAAAGCCUGAGGUAUGAGGAAAGAAGUCCCUUCAUGUCGGAAGGCUCCAUCCUGUUUUAAAAAAAUCCACUAUAGUGUCCCAGUUCUGUUGCUGCACAUCAUGGGCGACAGAGAGGAGAUAGUAUGGCUGCUCUGUCUCUACUAUGCUCAUGCUAAAAUACCUAAGUACUGUGGUUGCUACCUCUUUGAAGGAGCCAUGGGACUAAAGAGCAAAAUGCAGCACAGCUCUCCAGGCUGCUCAGUACAAUUCUUGGUGUCCUGUGUUUUGUUGCUGCCCCUACAGUCACCUGCAACAAGCCCAGAUGUAUAGUCACUAGAGAGCUGUCUGAUGACAGGAGUUUUUACACAUAUUUCAUCUAAAUCAACACACCAAAUGCAACAUUGAAGGUGCAGUGAGUUUGUGUGGAUUUGUAGCACUCCCUGGAGGACUCUGCGUCUAAAAACCAAUAAACAUUUCACGGUUCUCAGUAAUACAAAGGAAUGACUGAAUAUGGGAUCGAGAUCUUCAAUGCAGCUCUGCAGCUGGCACAAAGCAACAGUAGAGUCCAGACAAAGACCAUAUGUGACUACUAACAUAAAGUGUUGGAAACACAGGAGAUUCAAGAGCAAAAGUGAAAAAUACUUACAGCUGUGCAAAUGGUCACCAGCAACAGUUUUCUGCCUACCUCCAAGUGCCACCUCCUUUUAGGUGAACAGAACUCCCCACAGCAGCCUGUCCUCCCUGUGGGCAGUGACUGGUGUGUCCUGCUCAGUUUGAAAGGUCGGAUGGUUCACAUCAUGAAGGGACACACAGCAUUCCUUGUCUUCUGCUGCACAGCACUGGAAGGGACAAAUGAUGCUCUUGGCACCAUGGAAGUUGUGCAGUGCCAUCAGGAUUUCCUGAGACCAUGGGUCUUCCUGGAGCUUUUGAUUUAUACGAAGGGACUCAAAAAUACCCCUGCACAGAGCUCACCAACUAACCAGCCACACAGCACCUCCCCCUGCUCAAGGCUUGCACUGGAAAUGGGAACAAUCAGUAAGGACUUUGUGUGAGUCCUGAACAAAACAGUAUAGGUGCUGUAGGAAAAGUGUUGGAACCGCCUAUUGCCCUGGAUAGAGUGCCUGAGGAAGUUGUUUGUCUCAGGAUUCCAACCACAUCUUCUCCUUCCCCUUUGCUACUGGGGACAGUUUUCUCUCUGCACCCCUCCUUUCCCCCUCUUCUUUUUUUAUUUGGUCGUUGUUGAUAUGUGCCAUAAACUGUGUAUCCUGCUAAUAAAUUCUCAUUCAUGUGAA